GCCCCGGCUAACUACGUGCCAGCAGCCGCGGUAAUACGUAGGGGGCGAGCGUUAUCCGGAAUUAUUGGGCGUAAAGAGUGCGUAGGUGGCUGUGCAAGCGCAUGGUUUAAGAUAACGGCUUAACCGUUGUAUGCCGAGCGAACUGGACAGCUUGAGUACAGGAGAGGAAAGCGGAAUUCCUAGUGUAGCGGUGAAAUGCGUAGAUAUUAGGAAGAACACCAGAGGCGAAGGCGGCUUUCUGGACUGCAACUGACGCUGAGGAGCGAAAGCGUGGGGAGCAAACAGGCUUAGAUACCCUGGUAGUCCACGCUGUAAACGGUGGGUACUAGGUGUGGGAUCCAUUCCACGGAUUCUGUGCCGUAGCUAACGCAUUAAGUACCCCGCCUGGGGAGUACGGCCGCA
rnacentral:rRNA from 1 species